AAAGCAGCCACCUUUAAAAAAGCGUUACAGCUUACCUGUGUAAUUUGUCAAUUUCUUCAAUUACAAUAAACCCUUUCCCAAUAAUGAGUAACUCUAUACAACUAUAGAGAUUUUUAUGUUAAAACUAGUAACAAGAAGUACUUCUCUUAAAUACUCGUGUAUACCUCCAAUGAACGCACCUGAACUGACAGUAGCAACCCUCCAAGAAAACACUACUGACCACAACGUUGACCUAACCCCAGAGUAUUAAAAGAAAGAUUAAAAGAAAAAGAAGGAACUCGGCAAAUAGUAAUCCCGCCUGUUUACCAAAAACAUCGCCUUUUGAAAUCUAUAAAAGGUCCAGCCUGCCCAGUGACUCUGUUUAACGGCCGCGGUAUCCUGACCGUGCGAAGGUAGCGUAAUCACUUGUUCUCUAAAUAAGGACCAGUAUGAAUGGCAUCACGAGAAUUACACUGUCUCCUUUUUCUAAUCAGUGAAACUAAUCUCCCCGUGAAGAAGCGAGGACAUACCUAUAAGACGAGAAGACCCUGUGGAACUUAAAAUUAAGCAGAAAUUGAAUUAAACUCCAAUAUUACUGCAAACUUUCGGCUGGGGCGACCGCGGAGUAUAAACCACCCUCCGCAUUGAACGGAUUAAUACCCUAAACAAAAACUACACCUUUAAGUAUCAGCAGACUGACAUCAAUUGACCCGAUACAUCGAUCAAUGAACCAAGCUACCCCAGGGAUAACAGCGCCAUCCACUUCGAGAGCUCAUAUCGACAAGUGGGCUUACGACCUCGAUGUUGGAUCAGAUACCCCGGUGGUGUAGCCGCUACCAAAGGUUCGUUCGUUCAACGAUUAAAUCCUACGUGAUC
rnacentral:rRNA from 1 species